GUCGCCGGCGAAGCGUGCACGCACUGCGCCGUGCCUGAUUUCCUUCGUUCCAAAGGCUUGUUGAUCGCACGUGCCACCGCUACCCGUCAAGACUGCAAUGGAGCUCAAGUGUCAGUAGUACUCCACGUGCCAUACGGGUCGAAAUGUUUAAUCGUAAAAGAGGGGUCGUAGCUGGUACUCCCUCCGUCCGGGAAAAGUUAUCUCCGUAACGUUUUUGCAAAAAACUCCUCCCCAGACUUCCCACAUAACCCGCACUCCUCGUCUUCUCCGGUCGACACUCCGCCGCUCUGACACAGGCGCAUGGACGCCGGAGCUGCCCUGCGCCGCGCUGCUCUCCUGCUCUCCCGUGUGUCCUCCACCACCGUCGCAGCUGCCUCUUCCGCCGCUCCCUUCUGCCUCGCGCAGAAUCCCUGCCUCCCUUGCCUGCCUCCCGAAUCUCUCCUCUUUCUCCCCAAAAAUCGUUUCUUCUUCCUCCCGCCGCAUCUCCUGCUCGCGCCCACCCCGUCCCUCCUAGCGUUGAUGGAAGAAGCGUGGCGGGCCCUUGGCUCGGCGGUCGGCUACGCUGCCUUCCGCCCCCGCCUCCCCCUGGCGCCGCCGCCUCGGCACCCGUGGCGUGGGGUGCGGCCGUGAUGGCGCGCCGGGAGACGGUGGCCAAGGAGUCGUCCUCGCAGGCGGUGAGCCGGAUCGUGUCCAGCUGCGCCAACUCGACCGGCCUGGCCCCCGUCCACCCGUCGUCGACGCCGACGCCGUCAUCUCGCUCGCCUCCACCGCGGGCCGGCUGGUCAAGAUGCCAGAGGUGCUCGAGGAGGUGCGCGACGCCACAACGCUCUGGAGGCUCGCGCUCCUGCCCACCCCCGUCGAGACCAUCGAGCAAGAGAGUAGGGCCAGCUCGAACCGUGUGCACCAGGAAGAAGGCUAGCUCGAACAUUGUUUGGUGAAGCAAGCAGCUGAGCUGGUUUUGUUCUUGUCGCCUUGGAUCGUGCAGCGAUUGGAGGAGGACUUGGUGCAGAGGAAUGGAGUACGAGUACGGAUGCUGCUUCCGUUGAUCUCAGAGCAAGAAAGGUCCGGCACUGGAGAUGAAAAAGCAAGGAGCCUUGUACUUCUUCUCACCGACAGCAGCACGAGCAGGGGACCUCCGGCGACAGCACACCAGCAGGUGACCUCCGGGCGGCUACACGAGCAAGGGACCAGUAGCAACUUGCAGAGCAGCAGGGGAAAGAGCUCGAGCUUGAGGUCCAGGACGAGCUUGAGGGAGCUCGAGGUCCAGGCGCGGCCGGAACUCGCGGUUGAGGCGCUCGAGACCCAGGCGCGCACAAGUCCUGGCCGGCGGCGGCACAGAUCCUGGGUGGCAGAGGGGAUAUCAGCCGCGCAGGCCUGGCGGCGGCGGCGGCCCAGGUCCUGGGUGGCGGAGGAGCACGUCCUGCGUAGCGGCGGAGCAAGCAAUUGGGUGGUGCAGGUCCUGGGUGGCGGAGGACCACGUACUUGGCGGCGGCGGAGCAAGCAAUUGGGCGGCACAGGACCUGGGCGUCGGAGGAGCACGUCCUGGGCGGCAACGGAGCAAGAAAUUGGGCGGCGCAGGUCCUAGGCGGCGGAGGAGCAAGUCCUGGGCAGCGCCGGCGUAGGCCCCCGGCGGUGACUUGCCCUGGCGACGCGCGCGGGCGACGGGCAGAGGAAGAAUGAAGAAAAAAGCGACCUGUUUGUAACAGAUUUUAAGCUACGAUGGCGUUUUUGCAAAAUUCGCAGUACAUUAAGCUGUGGACAACUUUUUUCGGAGGGAGGAGUAGAUCAAAGUGCUGGACAUUAGCUACGUACGUGGCGCCAGUUUGAUCGUAUCGGCCGGAUAAUGUCGGCACUCGGCACGGCGCUCCAUAAAUCGGGUCGUGGGUAGCGGCCGCUACACGACGGAGGGAACAGAAAGCUAAUUUUAUGAGAUUGCC
rnacentral:rRNA from 1 species